rnacentral:rRNA from 1 species
GAUGAACGCUGGCGGCGUGCCUAAUACAUGCAAGUCGAGCGAACAGACGCGGAGCUUGCUCCUCUGACGUUAGCGGCGGACGGGUGAGUAACACGUGGAUAACCUACCUAUAAGACUGGGAUACCUUCGGGAAACCGGAGCUAAUACCGGAUAAUAUAUUUAACCGCAUGGUUCAAUAGUGAAAGACGGUUUUGCUGUCACUUAUAGAUGGAUCCGCGCCGCAUUAGCUAGUUGGUAAGGUAACGGCUUACCAAGGCAACGAUGCGUAGCCGACCUGAGAGGGGGAUCGGCCACACUGGAACUGAGACACGGUCCAGACUCCUACGGGAGGCAGCAGUAGGGAAUCUUCCGCAAUGGGCGAAAGCUUGACGGAGCAACGCCGCGUGAGGGAUGAAGGUCUUCGGAUCGUAAAACUCGGUUAUUAGGGAAGAACAAAUGUGUAAGUAACUAGGCACGUCUUGACGGUACCUAAUCAGAAAGCCACGGCUAACUACGUG